CACGUUGUAGACGUAUUGGCAGUUGUCUCGUUCAUUGAGGAUACCUGCAGAGCACAGGGAAUCGGUCAGGGCUGGAGUGUCCAGCUGCCGGGGUUCAACCAACUGCCCACCCAGAGCCAAGGCUGGAGAGAACUCAGGUGUUCGGAGUGCCCCCGAGUGACUCUGCAUGGGAGUCCCAGAGGCUGCUACUAUGUGGAGAAGGGGGAUGGAGGAGGCCUGGGCCACAUCCUUACCCUGUCAUCUGGGAUUUUAUCAUUAUCAUCAUCGUCAUCACAGGCGUCACCGAUUCCAUCCUUGUCAUAGUCCUCCUGCCCGGAGUUGGGCAGGUUGGGGCAGUUAUCCUGGAAAGAGAAGACUCACAUGAGGGCUUGGUCCAUGUGUCCUUCACUCAGCCUGAGCCCGGGGCAGGGCCCCCAGAACCCUCACACGGACCAGAUCUGCUGUGCUCCCUGAUGCCAUCUUGUUGUCUCUAAUGGGAAGAUCAUCUAAGCAUUUUCUUGGGGGUAUGUCAUUUGUCUAAGUGCCCCGUGCUUAAUCCAUGCUGGGAGCACCAGCCCUGCCCUGCUGGUGUUUGGGAGAGUCGUGAACAUUUUUCUGGAGAAAAGAAUCCACUCUGGACUGCACCAGCCAAAAGGGCCCACCCUCUUCAUGUUCAUGGCACCAGGGGAUUUAAUGUGAACACUUUAUGCCAUUCUGCCUUUGUGUGAUUUCAUCUUUCACUUUCAUGUUCAAACUUUAAGCAUUAAAGAUUGUUCAGCCUCC